rnacentral:rRNA from 1 species
CACCAAAAUGCACAGGCUGUGAACUCGAAGAGUAGGGCGGGACACGUGGUAUCCUGUCUGAAUAUGGGGGGACCAUCCUCCAAGGCUAAAUACUCCUGACUGACCGAUAGUGAACCAGUACCGUGAGGGAAAGGCGAAAAGAACCCCGGCGAGGGGAGUGAAAAAGAACCUGAAACCGUGUACGUACAAGCAGUGGGAGCACCUUCGGGUGUGACUGCGUACCUUUUGUAUAAUGGGUCAGCGACUUAUAUUCUGUAGCAAGGUUAACCGUAUAGGGGAGCCGCAGGGAAACCGAGUCUUAACUGGGCGUUAAGUUGCAGGGUAUAGACCCGAAACCCGGUGAUCUAGCCAUGGGCAGGUUGAAGGUUGGGUAACACUAACUGGAGGACCGAACCGACUAAUGUUGAAAAAUUAGCGGAUGACUUGUGGCUGGGGGUGAAAGGCCAAUCAAACCGGGAGAUAGCUGGUUCUCCCCGAAAGCU